CCCCUCCCCCCAGUACCCACCAUCACUACACACAUAAGACAGAACAACUGGGGAAGCCUACACCACCAAGCACACCCACCUAAACCACUAACAUCACAUUGAACCAACACACUCAAACCCACAUGACCCACUAGGCAGGACAUUGUAGCAGACAAAUGACACUCAACAGGACAACUACCGACAGAUCGACAAGGGAACUGUAAGAGUGCUGUGUAAUAUUCUGAAACAUUGUGUAACAUCUAGUCAACUAGUAUCUCC